rnacentral:rRNA from 1 species
GUCUAUGGCCAUACUACCCUGGAAGUGUCUGAUCCCGUCUGGUCUUAGAAGCUAAGCAGGGUCCAGCCUGGUUAGUACUUGGAUGGGAGAGCUCAUGGUAGUCCUGGGUGCUGUAGGCU